GUGAGGAAUUUUCCGCAAUGGGCGAAAGCCUGACGGAGCAAUGCCGCGUGAAGGAUGAAGGCCUAUGGGUUGUAAACUUCUUUUCUUAGUGAAGAAUAUUGACGGUAUCUGAGGAAUAAGCAUCGGCUAACUCUGUGCCAGCAGCCGCGGUAAGACAGAGGAUGCAAGCGUUAUCCGGAAUGAUUGGGCGUAAAGCGUCUGUAGGUGGCUUCAAAAGUCUCCUGUCAAAGAUCAGGGCUUAACCCUGGGCAGGCAGGAGAAACUCUGAGGCUAGAGUUUGGUAGGGGCAGAGGGAAUUCCCGGUGGAGCGGUGAAAUGCGUAGAGAUCGGGAGGAACACCAAAGGCGAAAGCACUCUGCUGAGCCACAACUGACACUGAGAGACGAAAGCGAGGGGAGCAAAAGGGAUUAGAUACCCCGGUAGUCC
rnacentral:rRNA from 1 species